UACAGAGGUCUCGAGCGUUAGGCGGAAUCACUGGGCUUAAAGCGUGUGUAGGUGGAUGCCUAAGUACCUUGUGAAAUCCCACGGCUUAACCGUGGAACUGCUUGGUAUACUGGGUGUCUUGAGUCACUCAGGGGCGAGCGGAACAAAUGGUGGAGCGGUGAAAUGCGUAGAUAUCAUUUGGAACGCCAAUGGUGGAAACAGCUCGCUGGGGGUGCACUGACACUGAGACACGAAAGCCAGGGGAGCGAACGGG
rnacentral:rRNA from 1 species